rnacentral:rRNA from 1 species
UGAGGAAUAUUGGUCAAUGGGCGGAAGCCUGAACCAGCCAUCCCGCGUGAAGGAAGAAGGCCUUAUGGGUUGUAAACUUCUUUUCUGUUUGAAGAAUAAGCUUGUCGUGACAAGUGAUGCCGGUAGGACAGGAAUAAGCAUCGGCUAACUCCGUGCCAGCAGCCGCGGUAAUACGGAGGAUGCAAGCGUUAUCCGGAUUUAUUGGGUUUAAAGGGUGCGCAGGUGGUUUAAUAAGUCAGUGGUGAAAGUCUGCCGCUUAACGGUAGGAUUGCCAUUGAUACUGUUGGACUUGAAUAUGGAUGAGGUAGGCGGAAUGUGUAGUGUAGCGGUGAAAUGCUUAGAUAUUACACAGAACACCGAUUGCGAAGGCAGCUUACUAAUCCAUGAUUGACGCUGAGGCACGAAAGCGUGGGGAUCAAACAG